rnacentral:rRNA from 1 species
UAUAGCAAUAUAGUGGUGGGGGAAGUGGCGAAAGGGGCAGUAAGGCGUGGGUAACCUACCCCGGGGACGGGGAUAGCCAUUCUAACGAGUGGGUAAUACCUGGCGAUCUGGUUGGGACGCAUGUUCUGGCCAGGAAAUGAAUUUCGCCUCGGGAGGGGCUCACGUGAUAUUAGCUUGUUGGUAGGGUAACGGCCUACCAAGGCAAAGAUGUCUAGCGGGUGUGAGAGCACGACCCGCGCCACUGGCACUGAGACACUGGCCAGACUCCUACGGGAGGCUGCAGUCGAGGAUCUUCGGCAAUGGGCGCAAGCCUGACCGAGCGACGCCGCGUGGAUGAUGAAGGCCUUCGGGUUGUAAAAUCCUGUCGAGGGGGAUAAAAGCGCAAGCUUGAUUGAUCCCUGGAGGAAGCACGGGCUAAGUUCGUGCCAGCAGCCGCGGUAAGACGAACCGUGCGAACGUUGUUCGGAAUCACUGGGCUUAAAGGGCGCGUAGGCGGCUUGUCAAGUCAGGGGUGAAAUCUUUCGGCUCAACCGGAAAAGUGCCUUUGAUACUGACAGGCUCGAGGGAGGUAGGGGUAUGUGGAACUUCCGGUGGAGCGGUGAAAUGCGUUGAUAUCGGAAGGAACGCCGGUGGCGAAAGCGACGUACUGGACCUCUUCUGACGCUGAGGCGCGAAAGCUAGGGGAGCAAACGGGAUUAGAUACCCCGGUAGUCCUAGCCCUAAACGAUGGGUACUA